GACAGAGGGUGCAAACGUUGCUCGGAAUCACUGGGCGUAAAGGGCGUGUAGGCGGGAAGGCAAUUCAGAUGUGAAAUCCCCAGGCUCAACCUGGGAACUGCAUUUGAAACUCCCUUUCUUGAGUACCGGAGAGGAAAGUGGAAUUCCUGGUGUAGAGGUGAAAUUCGUAGAUAUCAGGAGGAACACCAGUGGCGAAGGCGGCUUUCUGGACGGUAACUGACGCUGAGACGCGAAAGCGUGGGGAGCAAACAGG
rnacentral:rRNA from 1 species